AAGAACAAAGGGAAAGCAGUUCAAGUGAUGGUAAUCAGGCGCCCACCUGGAGAACAAAGGGAAAGUAAUUCAAUUGUUGGUACUCAGGCGCCCACCUGGAGAACAAUCGGAAGAAGUUCAAGUUUCGAGGAAAAACAGUUCAAAUAUUGGAAAUCAGGCGCCCACCUAGAGAAUAAAGGGAAAGCAAUUCAAGUAUUGAUAAUCAGGCGCUCACCUGGAGAACAAAGGGAAGCAGUCCAAGUUUCGAGGAAAAACAGUUCAAGUGCUGGAAAUUAGGUGCCCACCUAGAGAACAAAGGGAAAACAAUUCAAGUUUCAGAGGAAAGGAAUACAAUUCGAGUUCAGCAAUCAGGCGCCCACCUGAAAAACAAAGGGAAAAUAAGUCAUGUUUCGAGGAAAAGUAGUGCAAUUUUUAAUCAAGCGCCCACUUGGAGAACAAAAGGAUAAGCACCUCAGGAUACAAUUUAAGUCAGCAACAAAGGAAGCUCACCUAGAGAGUACAAGUCAACAGAGCAGCAAAAACUGCAAGAUCAAGUUUGAAGAAGUGUGGAUAGGAUUCCUG
rnacentral:lncRNA from 1 species